rnacentral:rRNA from 1 species
UACGUAGGGUGCAAGCGUUAAUCGGAAUUACUGGGCGUAAAGCGUGCGCAGGCGGUUAUGCAAGGCAGAUGUGAAAUCCCCGGGCUCAACCUGGGAACUGCAUUUGUGACUGCAUGGCUGGAGUGCGGCAGAGGGGGAUGGAAUUCCGCGUGUAGCAGUGAAAUGCGUAGAUAUGCGGAGGAACACCGAUGGCGAAGGCAAUCCCCUGGGCCUGCACUGACGCUGAGGAGCGAAAGCGUGGGGAGCGAACAGG